GAGCCAACAGGGAAGCUUUAGGUUUAUUAAAUGUUGCUAUGAAGGUUUCACUGUUUUUCUUUGUGAAUGCAAUGUGCUCCAACUGAAACUUGAAUUAGAACUGAGAAGUAAAUCCUUCCAUCUGAAAGGAUUUAGUUGCAUUAAUAACCUCAUAACAUUCUAAUUUUUAUUCCAGUCUUGGUUGAAAAUAGAAUCUCUGUAUUGAUUCAGGUAAAAACUGAACUUCACAGUAUGUUGGAGCAAAACAACCAGAUGAAAACUGUGAUGGUGUUGGAUUGUCAGACCGUAAUGUUGCAGCUCAAAGCAGCUUUUCUAUCUCAGUUCAUUCUGACAUUCAGCUAUGAAUCAACACAGCAGAUGGUGAUCCAUGCUGUGGAAGUCUCACAUCUCCUGAUUUAAUGGAGCUGCUUUGCACUUUUUACACUGUUUAUUCACCAACACUUUAUUUAAUAAAAAUCCCAUCUAGUUUUUAUGAGGAAUGUGAUGUUUUAAUUUCUCUGUGAAUAACUGCAGUCUAAUGGAACAGCUGGAGUUGUAACAUCUGUCCUGAUAUUGAUCAUGAAGUAUUGAUCAGAAUACUUAUGGUUAGCAGUCAUCCCUGAAGUUUUACAUUAAAAUCUUUACUUGUGUUGUGAACUUUGGUAAGAAGCAGAAACUUUAGCGUUGCCAUGGAUACAUGAGUGUUAAAUUCUGUCCAUGUUUCCAUUUUGGGAAAUUCAGUCCAGUUCCAGAAUGUGGAGGAAUUUAGUCUUACAAUCACAGACAACAAAUAUUAUCUGAAAGUCGGGUUAUUGUUGUUUAUCAGCACAAUACAAAAAGAUUAAUGUUAGAAAUAUUCCAGUUAAGACUCUAGAAUAUCAUGAUUUAUGUAAAUUUACCUCAAUAAUAUGAAUGUUCAGGUUAAGAUUGUGCAGUGAUAUUAUGUAAGUUUAGCUGAUUAAAGUUUAUGACUCUGCACUAAAAUAUUAUUUAAAUUGACAUUAUUAUAAUAUUUAGGGUCAGACCCUACAGUAUUGAGAUUAAGAAAUCAAAUAUUCUAUAAAAUGUAAAUACACUGAACUCAUUUGGAUAUAUUUAAGUGAGACUCUACAAUAUUAUUUGACACAAAUCUAUCUAAAUCAAAAUUUUAAUAAUUUUCACGCCAAACAUUUACUGGACUGAUUUAAAUAUUAAAAUCACUCCUUUCUAAUCCUCUGCUGUACGUUCAAACCUGAGGCCUUAAAUAGAAACACACAAGUAUCUGAUUGAAGGAACUUCUGUAGAGUCCUGGUUCCAGAACAUGAUGAUAGAAACAAACUUUAACAAAAGCUGCCUGAGAGUUUACAGGUUUUUAUGUUGGAUUUCUUCAGUAAUUUAAUGAGCGUUAUCAGCAAUAAUCAAGUGUUCAUUUGAUGAACUUCAUUUCCUAAUACAUCCAGAAUUGGAGCUCAUAUCUUUUGCAGCUGUAAAGUUUCUGCUCCUUCAAAGUUCACAACACAAUGAAUGAAUUCCUAAAACACUCUCAAUGCUGAAGCAGUGAUCAGUUUUUUUGUUUCUUCUCUGGAGAUGCACAAUGAGGGACGUCUGCAGUGACUGAGAAAGAGUCUCACCACAUCCUGACAUGAGGAAAAAGACUUUAUUGAAGACUACAAUGAGAAAAACUAUCAGACAGCAGACGGCUGCAUUCAAGAGAAGAAGACCAUCAAACAUCCACGUCAGCUGAUGGAGGUCCAAGAGUCUCACCGAACAACCAACCUACAGAGUGAAGACCUCCAAUCUGAUUGGACGGCCUCCUAUUCAGCCACAUGUGUGAACAAAUGCCUCUAAGCUGAUUUGUUUUCUAAAAUAAAUCUAGUUUGAGUCCUAA
ensembl:lncRNA